rnacentral:lncRNA from 1 species
ACAGAACAGCCCUAUUAUCACGAUAUGGAUUUGUAAUAUCAUGAUAUUUCUGUGUCACGAUAUAUUGUAUACAAUAUAAUAUUGCCCACCCCUAGCAGUCACCAUGAUUUUUAGCCAUAUUCAUUUAGCUACAUUUACAGGAGUAGAGAAUAAAGGAUGUGUAAUACGUGUAACAUGCCAGACACUGAGGUAUGGAGCUCUGAGGUAUGGAACAGUAGAGGUUCUUAAUGGGGUCCUGUGAUAAUCCAUCCCAUGCAGCUUGAAUAUUCCCAAGCAGGUCCUGCAAAUGUUGCAGUAGGGGUGAUUAGGAGUGUUGAUGUGUGUCCAAUAGCAUCCCACACAUUUUCAGUCAGGGAUAGGUCUGGAGAUGCAGCUGGUCAUGGUAUAGUAUCUGUGUCUUCAAGGCAAGAUUUUGAGACAGCAGAAAUAUGUGAAAGAGCAUUGUCCUGCUGGAAUAGUGUAGAAAAUGUAAAAAACAUAGGGCUGCUGUUUACAGGACCUCAUUAACGUAGCAUUGGGCUGUUAAAGUGCCCGUAAUAAAGACCAAAGGUAAUCUUAAUAAAAUAACACAAGACAAAAGCAAAACUGUCACUCUGGCACAACUACCCACCAAGCUUCACUCCUGUCAGUUGAUUCCUUUUGGGUGUAACUAUUUUUUUUGAUGAUGAGUGUAUAUUAAUGAAUUCACCCAGAUUGUACACAGUCAUCUUACCUCACCUCUCUAAUGUUUCAGCCGUCCCGACCGCUCUGCUCAUCUCCACCAUCUUCACCUUCCUAAUGGCUGCCAUCGUAGCUGUUUGGUACUUCAAAACGGGCAGAUCUCCUCCGGGCGAGUGGGACGACGGGGAGCAGCAGCAGGAGUGUAUAGAGACUGAGGAGUGGGACACAAAGCAGCCUGAAGCUGAAGAGGAAAAGCAGCAGGCUGAGAGCGCUGAUGACGUCAGUGUGAGCGUGGACUGCGAGAACGAGAGCGAUACAGAAAGCAGAGAAGCUGAAUAAACUUCUACACACACUAUAAACCCACACAACCUUCAGCCGUCUUUCAGCCGCUAAAAAUGUCUGAGCAAAUGUAGCUUUUUAUUUUUUAUACCAAACCAAUGUUUUGCUUUUUUAUUAGCGUUUAAUGCUUGUAUUUUUUAUAAAGUGUAUGUGUAUAGUAAUGUUUUUGAAUAAAAUGUAAAGUUUUUAAUGAAUCUGGCUUUUU